UUCACAGGCGGCUUUGUGACAUCACCUCCGUGUUGGCCACUGCUCUUAUUAAAAUCUCACCGAUCCACUUCACUGUUGCCAGGCUUGCGGCCUUUGUCUCCAGCGAGCCUGCUGUCUCCCAGCGCCCCGGAGGCCACGGGGCUUCACACGUCGCGUGAGGUCACCAAACACCUUGUGGAGCAGGACAGCGGCCUCCCCCCAUCUCUGUGCCCCCUUGCCCUCUCUGCUGCUGGCACCUGUCCUGCGGCCUGGCCAGAUCCUGGGCUGGGAGGCCCGCGGUGUGACUCGGGGAGCUCACCCAGACCCACGCUCCUCCACUCUGUGCUGAUGGUGGUUUUGGCCCCUGGGUGCUGGAGGAGACUCUGAGGCCUGGCAGGCUGAAUCUUUCAUGUCGUGUGUCUGCAGAGAGAGGAGCAGUCUGGGAGGCCUUUAAGAAUCAGGAAAAUGGUAUUUCUGUCCUUUGGGAGAAGAACUGAAGAUCUGUCUACAGUGCCCAGAAUACUGAUCUAUACCGUCCUGUCUGUGCAGCCUCAGUGUGCUGGUGCUUGGGGACACGGAAGUUCAGGAGUCCCAGGACUCAGCAGGCACGGCUGAGGGGAAAUGUUACGGGAAGCAGCCCGGCCCCAGCCCCCACGGCCUUUGCGGACGCGCACAGUACACAUUCUGUUCACGCUGUUGGUGACAGACAGUGAUGAUGCUCGCAGCGUCUUUAUGUAAAGAUGUGUCUAAAAAAAAAAAAAAAACAGCUCGGCUCUGAGAAAUGUUCACCUUCUGGAGGGCUCAACAGGCUGUGAGGGGCCCUGAUUUAGUUGGGAAAGCACCAGAGGCUCCUUUGGCUGGGUUGUCUGUCCUGCGAUUGAUUGGAGCCGAGCAGGAAACCCCCGGGGCUCCGUUCUGUUCUGUCACUGAAAUGAUCCAAAGACUUACUUCCCCUCUCCGUCUGGGACUGCCCCGGCUCGGGGCUGCUCCCUCCGCACGGCCGGCCUGAAAGCCCCUAGACUCAGGGGGAUAGCUGCUGGGAUUCACGCUGCUCCCGCCAUCCGUGCUCCCGGAAGGCGAAGAAGCCCCCAUCUAAUGCUGAAUUGUGUUUAUGUAACUCGAAUCCCUGCUUCGUCGCCUGCACCUACAAGAUAAGGCUCUGUAUUUUCUGUUUGUAGCAGGAGCCUUGUCAGCAGAAUCUGGUCCUCCUCAAAGUGUCUCCUGAUCAUUUCUAGAAUCUCUGAGGGGUGACCCCCACCCCCCACAAGAAUGGUACGGCUAAAAAAAAAAAAAAAAAAAGAAUGGUACGUCUAGUCCCCAACUGGCUGCCGCGUCCCGGCCCUGUGACUCCCCGCCGCGUGCUGCCCGCACAGCUGCUGAGAGGGGCCUUCAGGGCCACAGUCCAUCCCGGGGAUGCCCAGGGUGCCGGUCCGGGAUCCUUCAGAGCCAGGAGCACGCUCUUCUUCCAAUGCCGAGGGGCACGUGUCCCCUGGGCCCGCGAGUGGCCCUCGGUCCAGGGUCUUGCAGAUUUGCUCUUCGUCAGUUUCGCUGGCCCGAAGCCAUCACCUUUAGUCAGAACCUCACUGACUCUCCAGAAAGACAAAUUUCCGUUUUUUGGCUCUGCUCCUCUAACCACAGAAACAGCGAACAGCCCCAGGGGAGGGGGUGGGGCAAGGAAGCCCUGACGUCAUUCCUGCA